rfam:Schistosoma rodhaini strain Burundi genome assembly, scaffold: SROB_scaffold0000425
GUCCAGCUGACUAAUCUCAAAUAAAACGAAACGCUCUUCCUGGAU